rnacentral:rRNA from 1 species
CAGUCGCCGCGGUAAUACGGAGGGUGCAAGCGUUAUCCGGAUUUAUUGGGUUUAAAGGGUCCGUAGGCGGAUCUGUAAGUCAGUGGUGAAAUCUCACAGCUUAACUGUGAAACUGCCAUUGAUACUGCAGGUCUUGAGUAAAUUUGAAGUGGCUGGAAUAAGUAGUGUAGCGGUGAAAUGCAUAGAUAUUACUUAGAACACCAAUUGCGAAGGCAGGUCACUAAGAUUUAACUGACGCUGAUGGACGAAAGCGUGGGGAGCGAACAGGAUUAGAGACCCCGGUAGUCCCUGUCUCUUAUAC